GAAACUAACCAGGAUUCUCUUAGUAACGGCGAGUGAACAGAGAUUAGCCCAACAUCGAAGCCUCUAUGCAUUUGUGUGGAAGGCAAUGUGAUGUAGAGGUGUUCGUUUUCGCAGACUGGCUUACUUGAAGUCCAUAUUUGACUGUGGCUUGUGUAUAAUUAUACACCCAGAGAUGGUGAAAGGCCAGUUCAAGUUGGUAAUUCAGACCAGACUGUCUGCGUAUAUACGUUCACUGUUGAGUCGGAUUGCUUGAGAUUGCAGUCCAAAUAUGGUGGUAAACUCCAUCAAAGGCUAAAUACCUGUGUGAAUCCGAUAGUCAACAAGUACCGUGAGGGAAAGUUGAAAAGUACUCUGAAGAGAGAGUAAAUAGUGCGUGAAACUACAUGAAGGUUAAACGGAUGGAGUCCAACUGCGUGUUAUUGUUCAUUGCAUUAUUCAUUACUAUGUACUAAUUGUGCAGCGACAGCUUGUCGAUUGGCGUAUCCAUUUGUGGGUAUUUGAACAAUUGGCUAUGUUUAAUAGAUGUUGUUGUGCAAGUGUGGGUAAUGUUUAUGACGAUAGCAGAAGCCAUAGUCGGUUAAGUCUAUCAGCACUAAGCUAACAGCGUUUGCAUGAGCGACUUUUUGUCGUUUAUGUAAUCGUUAGACAGUUGUUAUUUACAUAUGCUUGCAUGUGUUUAUGGCAAAAUGGGCUACGGCCUGUUGUGAGCUAAGUACGCUGUGUGAUUAACUGGUGACAUAUGUUCUAUGUAAUUCAUAAGCUAGCAUAGAUUGCUAUGAGAGCUUGUGAAGAAACGUACGAGCUAUGGUUUAGCGGAAGACUUUCUAU
rnacentral:rRNA from 1 species